CAGCCGCCACGGUAAUACGAAGGGGGCUAGCGUUGUUCGGAAUUACUGGGCGUAAAGCGCACGUAGGCGGCUUUGUAAGUCAGAGGUGAAAGCCUGGAGCUCAACUCCAGAAUUGCCUUUAAGACUGCAUCGCUUGAACGUCGGAGAGGUGAGUGGAAUUCCGAGUGUAGAGGUGAAAUUCGUAGAUAUUCGCAAGAACACCAGUGGCGAAGGCGGCUCACUGGCCCGAUACUGACGCUGAGGCACGAAAGCGUGGGGAGCAAACAGGAUUAGAUACCCGGGUAGUCCCUGUCUCUUAUAC
rnacentral:rRNA from 1 species